rnacentral:rRNA from 1 species
CACAGCCAAGGGAACGGGCUUGGCGGAAUCGGCGGGGAAAGAAGACCCUGUUGAGCUUGACUCUAGUCGAACGUCGAGGAACAGCACGGACGAACGUAGCAUAGGUGGAGGCUCCGGCCGAACCUGAAAUACCACCGUCUCCGUCGUUGUUCUUCUCAUUUGGUGGUGUAGGGAUGGGGCGAAGCCCCUUUUUCUGGAGACGGCCGCGACGCGCGCCCGUCCGGGCUCCGUCGCUCGCGCGAGCGAGCGGCGGGGUCCGGCAGGCCUCCGCCCGCGGCGCCUAAUCCGAAGACGUCGUUCGGUGGGGAGUUUGGCUGGGGCGGCACAUCCGUUAAAAGGCAACGCGGGUGUCCAAAGGGGAGCUCGGCGAGAAGGGAAAUCUCGCGUCGAACGAAAGGGUAAAAGCUCCCUUGAUUCCGAUCUUCAGUACUGAUACG